AUCUGUAUCUGUUCAACCAACAAAAUUAUCGGAGGGCCAAGAUGGCGGCGUAACCUACAGAACGCGACAGAAUCCUCUCCUAAAUUAAUUUUUACUAUAGCAACUUAGACUUGAUUACUAUAACAUAACUUGUUCGAAACAAGUAAGACAUUAGUAACUGGCAUUGAUUUCAUUCCAAACAUCAAUCUUGCAUUGACGUUUCAAGAUUAGUUUUAGUACAGAAACGAACUUUUCCAAACUAGCUAGCUAGCUAGCUAACUUUUUGUGAUCCGGAUCUCGUGCAGUGUAGCUCAUGGCUAACAACGGGAACAAACGUAAGUCUCCAAACGCUGGAACCACCUCAUCAUAUCCAGACUCUCCAUUGAAAACCCCAACUACCAAAAACAGGAAAAUUUUCGAAGAUGAUGAUGUUGCUCAAAGCAUCAUUACUAAACUAACAGUGGCGAUAAAUGAGAGAGCAGAUGGCUUGCAGGCAGGUAUUGAAAACUUGAAAGAAUCAGUUGAAUUUGUCUUUGCUGAAGUAAAAGAUCUAAAAAGAAAGAUGGAGAAUACGGAGUUGGUAAAACCGAACGAAAAUUGGCUGAGAAGGAAAACAAGGUGCUAGAACUUUCACGAUAUAAAAGACGCUGGAACUUGCGCCUGUUUGGUCUCGUCGAAGAGGAAGGGGAGGACGUUCGGAAAAGGGUGAUCUCCAUCUGUCAGAAAACGGCUCCAGACCUCAAGGACAAACUCCCUGAUGUGAUUGACAGCGUUCACCGGCUUGGAAAAGCUCACCAGGGCAAGCAACGAGUAAGAGAUGUUAUUCUACAGUUUUCAAUGAGGCACUACCGUGACGGCGUCUGGAAAGCUGCGAAAUACUCAACAUUUCUCCAAGAGAACAAACUGCGUUUCAAGGAAGACUUCUCCCCAGAUGACAGGGCAAGACGUAACCAGCUGUGGCCGUUAGUGGAGAAGGCUAGAAAAGAAGGCAAGAUAGCCUAUUUCGUCGGAGCAAGAGCCUUCAUUGAGAGGAAGGAGAUUCAUCCCCCAACAGAAUGUGCGAACUGUUGAUCACUUAAUUCAGGUUUGAUAACAUAUCCAAGUUUGGAGUGUGACAAUAUAAAUUCUCUUUGUUGUUUGGUUACGUAAUGUUAAGUACAACAAGUACAACGUCAAGUUGUGGUUAAAUAAAAAUAAAAAUUUUUAGAAUUCACAGUUGAACUUUUUUUCUAACCUAACCUACACAAGUUAAUUUCCUUGCAUAUAUGUUGUUCUCGGUCUUGAACAAUAGAACAUGUGGGACCUAAUCAAUAGAACCUUGCUUACUAAAGUUGCUAUGAUAUUAUAUUUUAAAAAGGAGAGCAUUCUGUUCUAGAGAGAAUACUACUCUUCAGUUCUCAGGGUAUUAAGCCACUUAGCUGCACUCUAGCUUACUCCAGCUCGUUGUUUUUUCAUCAUUUUCAUUAUUUAAUCUUUAACAGUUGUCUCGUUCAACGCUCGGGGUCUAAGGGACAAGGUAAAACGAAAAGCUAUUUUUCUUUAUGCCAAAAGUUUUAAUGCAGAUUUUUUUUUGUUUUAUACAGGAAACUUAUUCAGAGGCAAAUGACUUAAAAUUUUGGAAAUCGCAAUGGGAUGAAGAAAUUUUGUUCUCCCAUGGCUCAAAUCAUUCGGCAGGUGUCUUAACACUAAAACAUAGAUUCAGUGGUAAAAUCCUCUUCUCCCUCUCUGAUCAACUGGGUCAUUUUCUCUUCUUGGUUAUUUCACUUAAUGAGGAGUUGUUUUUGCUUGGCAACAUAUAUGGGUAUAGUAACAAAAAAGAAAACAGAUUUAAUGGAAAUAUUGAAUAUUAAAACAGAAUAUAUAUUGGGUAAAUAUACAAAUACAAAUUAUUUUGGGUGGAGACUUUAAUUUAACUAUAAACAAUACCAUCGACAGAUGGCCUGCAAAAUCUAGUGCCAGUUCGAAUGCCAUCUUGACAGACUUCAUGUAUAAGCUAAACCUUACAGAUAUAUGGAGAUUAAAGAACCCAAAUAUGGUUGAUUUUACUUGGGAAACAAAACCGGCUCUCUUAAGUCCGGAAUAGAUCUAUGGCUAAUUUCAGAUACUAUGGUGGAAUCUACACUUAGGGCUGUAAUCUUACCGGCCCCCUUGUCUGAUCAUAAAGUUAUCUUAUUGGAAGUAGUUAUGUCUGCCUGUCAUCAUUCAAGAAAGAACACAAAAUGCAUUUAGCAUAAAUUGGGAACUCCUCAAAUUUGAACUCCGGAAAUUGUUGAUGAAAACAGGAGCGGAAUUAGUGGAAAAACAGAAAAAAAGCAGAAACCCAACUAAUUGCAUAUAUAACACUAAAUAAUGUGGCGCCUGAUAACAUGUCUGAGGAAAAUAAAGUAAAAUUAGCAGAAUUACAACUUAAAUUAGACAACAUUUACAUUUAUAAAGAUAAAGGAGCUUUUAUACGUUCUAGGAAAAAAUGGCUCGAAGAAGGGGAACGAAAUUCAACAUAUUUUUUUAAUCUAGAAAAGUACCAUCUGUCACGGCGCGGGUAGGGGGGGACCCAAACGCAGAGGGAAAAGAAAACACAAAUCCAAAAUGGGAGGGGAACAAAGACUUUACUAUAGACAGGCAAACAAGCAGGGAACAGACAAGGCCACAAAGGGAAAAAAACACGAACUCAAAAAAUCUCUAAAUAAAACAGAAAACAAGAGGAACUCAAACACGGGAAGGGCAGAACACGGUCAGGGCAGAACGCAGGCAGGCAGAACACAAGGGCAAAUCAACAAGUCAGGAACAAAACAAAACACAAGGCCAAAUCAACAAGUCAGGAACAAAACUAGUCAGGAACAAAACAAGUCAGGAACAAAACUCAAGCAGGCAGGUACAUGGAAGUGAGGGAACAAACACAAGCAGGCAGGUACAUGGAAGUCAGGGAACAAACACAAGCAGGCAGGUAUAUGGAAGUCAGGGAACAAACACAAGCAGGCAGGUGCAUGGAAUUCAGGGAACAAACACAAGUAGGCAGGUACAUGGAAGUCAGGGAACAAACACAACUCGGGAACAAACACAAACAGGUAAAAAAAAAAACGCAGGCAGGUAUAAAUGGUCUGAACAU